AAGUGACUAAGCGUACACGGUGGAUGCCUUGGCAGUCAGAGGCGAUGAAGGACGUAUUAACUUGCGAUAAGCCCAGAUUAGGCAGUAAAAGCCACUUGAGUCUGGGAUUUCCGAAUGGGGAAACCCACUUGCAUAAGCAAGUAUCCUUACCUGAAUACAUAGGGUAAGGAGGCGAACCGGGGGAACUGAAACAUCUAAGUACCCCGAGGAAAAGAAAUCAACCGAGAUUCCGAAAGUAGCGGCGAGCGAAAUUGGACUAGCCCUUAAGCUUUAUAUGCGUUAGACGAACGGUCUGGAAAGUCCGGCGAUACAGGGUGAUAGCCCCGUAGUUGACAACGCACAUUCAGUGAAAUCGAGUAGGGCGGGACACGUGAUAUCCUGUCUGAAUAUG
rnacentral:rRNA from 1 species